UUCAUUAGGCUCAAGCAAGGAACUGUCUGUCCAACAAGAAAGUUGUCCAAUAAGAAACACUCGUUUUCAUUUUCCAUAAUGAUUAUCAGCCUGCUGAGCACUGGGCCUAUGUUGCUGCUCUGCUCACAGCUCAGGGGAGAGGCGGGGUGAGGCAGGUAACCAAGGUACAGAAAGAACAUACACAGCACAGAAGCCAGAAGUUUUAUGAGUCGGUCUACCUAGCUUCACCCUUCACACAGAGGGCUUCACAGUACAGUACAUUAGCACCUGAUGAUUGAUUGAGAUGAUGGACAUAGCUCAUGGUAAAAUAAUCUACAUGGUGAUUUUCAAAGGUUAACCUAUAGCCUACAGGUGGAGACGUGUAAGGACUAAUUGCUCAUGGGAUCGCUACAUAUCUCAUUACCUGUAUCAUAGCCCUGAGAAAUACCUCUGGAACUAAAGCAGUCCCCAGACUAGUUGUCAAGAUCAUAGGCAGCAAACAGGUCAAGUAUUUCAUCACAGAAGAGACAGACAAGGUGAAUGGAGCAGCUAUUCCUCUGGCGGUUGUGGGUAAUGUGAUGAAGGAACCACCAGACAAACAGGACUCUAUAGUGGCCAGAUCACACAGACAAGCUGAGGCUGAGGGGGGUGUGGGGUCAGCUUUUCAGGCUACGCUCCACAAGGUAAACCCUGAACCGUAAUAUAGUCGUUAUACUUAUGUUAUUAAGUUAUGUUAUUAUUAUUAUUUAUUAUCAUGUAGCUUAGAAAAAUAUAUAAUUGUACAUUAUUUAAAAAAUGGUAUCUACCCUCUUUUAUAUGUUGAAUAAAAAAAGAAAAUAUAACAAUAAUACAUAGUGAAAAGAUGACAUUGCAUGAGUAGUAUAUUUCAAGAUAGAUAGACAAAGGUGACAUAAACCCUAUGGUUACGGGAUUUCGUUGAUGUAUACGGUACAUUGUUCCCAGUGAGCUGUAUCUUUCUAGUGGAGAGCUCAAAACACUGAGUGUUGGGUUCACUUGACAGGCCCCAAACAGACUGUGUGUGACAGCUCCCUCUGGUGACCGUUCCCUGUCCUACAUCCAUCAGAAGAACCCAGCUGUCAUAAGAACUGAACUCAGAGUAGGAACAGCAGCAAGGGCAUCUGAGGAGGAGAAGGUUAAUUCAAACUACGGCCUAACUGUGAUCACUUGAUUUAAUUUUUAUUUUACUCAAACAAAACCGUGGUCUGCACAGUGAUCACCACUUUCAUACAUAAAACAGAUGAUGCCCACGCUUCAUGAAGUUGUAUGGCAUUGUUUAUUUCUACUGAUUAUCACGUCCUACUGGUGUGGAGCUCAACAAAGGCUUAUUCUGAUUCCCCACCAUAGAAAUAGAAUCAUUCUAUAUAA